ensembl:lncRNA
GGAGGAAGACAGAAGGGUGCUGGCAGAGAAUCCACCCUGGUUCUCUCUCCAGUCUCUCUCACUGGCUCACCGGGUGCUGUGUGCUGAGGCCUCACACCUGCCACUUGACAUCAGAGUUCCUCUUGUAAAACGGCUGCCCCGACACCUCACCUGGGAGGGCCGUGUGCAGAGACCGUGCCCACCACACCGCAAUCCAGGGUGGGGGCAGCGGGCCGUGUGCAGGAGCGCUGUGCCCGGCACUGCCGUCUGGAGCCCGGGGCUGCACACCUGGGCCUGCCUCACAAGAACCCCGUCCCCCCUCGAGAUUCCUGUAAAGCAGCCUGUCCGCGCACCACGACCCACACCUGUCCGCAAGAGCGUGUGCUCCCAGCAGGAGCCUGCAUCUCUCCAAUCUGUGAUGAAAGAAUAAAGCAU